UGUGCUUCUAUUUAAGAGGAGAAAAGCCAAGCUUGCUGACUGUGGAGUGUGUGUGUAUGAAUCAGUGCCUGUUCUGUGAUCAUUUUCCCUAUUCUGUCAUUGGGCCAUUUUAUGGUUUUUUUUUUUUCAUGUUCUGUUUACCUAGAGACUUGAGUUAAGGUGACUCUCCAGAAGCUAUCCUUUGGACCACGGUGCUUUCUGUGGCACAGUAACUCUGCUGUCACCACACUAAACAGGGGUCACAGUUUACUCAGGGUUUCCAUGAAGGAGACCUUACAAUGACCAUGAAUUUCCCACUGCUGUUAAGCAGCUAAAACUUGUGUGAGCAGCUCAUUGCUCAUCUCUGCAUACAGCUGUGCCUGGUAAUGUGCUCAGCAGGUCCUUCUCUGUCCUGGGUUUUACCCAUCAACUUUGUGCGCUUCCCUCUUGGAAAAUCAAGCAUAGAUUUUGUAUGUGCAGUUCACAGAAACUCUUCCAAAAAUUGAAAGCCAUCAUCCAGGGCUCCUCCAGAUGUACCGUGUUCUGCAUGUACCAUGGAGUGGAAAGAUAUGUCAACACACUAAGGAGUGAGAAUUAUUUGAAUUCUGGAUUGGCUGACUUGCAUCGAUGCCUUUUGUUUUGUGAUCUUCAAAUGCAGGAGAGGAAGAUAUUUCCCUUCAGUGCUUCAACAACUCCUAUGCAAGAUGAGCAUGCAAAGAACUUCUGAGGCCAGCCAAAACCACUCCAUCAAGGUGAUGUUUGUGAUUUUCAGCAUCAUUCAUACACUUGCCAUUUUGGCCUUUCAACUUCAGUUACAGUCCUGCAAUUCAGUCCUUUCUGAAUUUUCUGUUUACUGUGCACAUUGCUACCUGACAGAAAUUACAGUGGUUCCCAGUUCAUGCAUUUGAGGAGAAAGCUUUGUCGGGGGAGGACAGGGUGUGGGGAGGAAUUAAUCAAUAUUUUAAUGCAGCAAAUGUUUCUUUUGAAGUCAGCACUAUAAAUGAAAGUGAUAGUUAAACCUCAAAAACUGGUUUGAUAACAAACUACCUGCACCUAUCAAUAAAUCACCUUCUCUUAUAUGGAGAUUUUUUCUC
rnacentral:lncRNA from 1 species